GACGCUCUCCCCAAGGACACAAGCCAUGCAUGCCCGCGCACCCGGGAGGCGGCGGACGGCUCAGGACAACGGUUGCACCCCCCGCGGCGGUCCCUGCUAGCCGGACACCGCUGGCAACCCGGCGCC
rnacentral:rRNA from 1 species